UCUAAUGGAUGAGCAAAGAACGUGGUUUCCUGAGAUGGAAUCUACUCCUGGUGAAGAUGCUGUGAG
rnacentral:pre_miRNA from 1 species